rnacentral:rRNA from 1 species
AACGAACGCUGGCGGCAGGCCUAACACAUGCAAGUCGAACGCCCUAGUAAUAGGGAGUGGCAGACGGGUGAGUAACACGUGGGAACCUUCCCUAUAGUACGAAAUAGCCCAGGGAAACUUGGAGUAAUACCGUAUAAGCCCGAGAGGGGAAAGAUUUAUCGCUAUAGGAUGGGCCCGCGUAGGAUUAGCUAGUUGGUGAGGUAACGGCUCACCAAGGCAACGAUCCUUAGCUGGUUUGAGGGAAUGACCAGCCACACUGGGACUGAGACACGGCCCAGACUCCUACGGGAGGCAGCAGUGGGGAAUCUUGGACAAUGGGCGCAAGCCUGAUCCAGCCAUGCCGCGUGAGUGAUGAAGGCCUUAGGGUUGUAAAGCUCUUUUGCCGGGGACGAUAAUGACGGUACCCGGAGAAUAAGUCCCGGCUAACUUCGUG